rnacentral:tRNA from 1 species
CAAAUUAGAGCUUGGUAAGUAUUUCAUUUACAUUGAAAAGAAAUUGAUAAAUUCAUUUAAUUUGA